UUGAUUUGUAGUAUCUUUUCGCCGCUAAAACAGAUAAAUUGGUUUCUACCGGUUGUGAUUAGAUUCGUGCAUAGUUAUCAACAUAUUUAGGAAGCUCUCCUAAGUUUUGAAAUUUUGAUAUUUUUGAAAACUUCUUCAUAUUGAGCAGUUUGUGAUACGUAUGUCUGUCGGUAUGUCUGCUGUGCAAGUCUACAACAGAGGAGACAACUUUUGCACCAUGAAUUUCGACUGAAUGCUCCAGUUCUGCUUAUAUUGCUGAAAGUGUGAUUAUCAAGAAGGUUCGCGUUCAAAAAUAAUUUACGUUAUGAAACUAUAGUGAAGUGUUUUUUGAAGCUUUCGAAUGCGGACCAUUCAGUUUUGGAGAUAAAUGUAGUAUUUUUUAAUAUCACUUUAUGCAUAGAAAGGUUGAAAUAAGAAUUAUUAUACAAGGAGUGAACAUUUCAACCUAAAAUAUUUUCGACUUAGGUUGACUUUUGCUGGCUGAAAACACCGAGAAUAAUUCCGUAAGUGACUUUCUAAAAGAUUUUUUAUAAAUGUUCUCUGUUUUUGUAGGUAUAAUUUCAAGAUUAAAUUGAGAUCGGAACUGGAUAUACCAUAUCACGUUGUAAUCAAAUAUAAACACACAAAUUUUUCGUAUCCAUCAUGUGAACCUCGCAGGACAACGAACUUUAAGCAUCAUGAUUAUUGUUAUGUAGAGUAUAAGAAUUUCAUUAGUUUUUUUUUUCGAUUUAUUAUAAAUGUGCGGAAGUAUGUAUUAGUCAUGGGAGAAUCUCUUGACUCUGACGAAUUUCAAGUUCAAGUUUUAUUAUUAUCAACCGUUAGAUCACUAUAAGUGCAAACCUAGAGUCCUUAUCCAAUUUUUCCGAGCAAAGAUCCGCGACAUCCCUAAUAGGCCCCCCCAUUGUUUCCGGUUGAUGAGUCCACUACUUUCGCGUAUCUACUCUAUAGUAUGUACCAGCAAGAAGCUCUAAAGAUAGAAAUUCACCAGAAAAUGCAAUGACUUGAUAGAUUGCCGAAUGAUCAAAUAAUCAUACGAAUUGUACGCAGCUAAUUAAGGGCUCGACUGGAGUAUCCCGUCGAUACGCGCUUGCUCCAAUAAAUUUUUAGGAGUGUGGUCUAUGGUUCCCCCUUUGGUUUCCCAUUUUAGAGUAUAAUAAGGAGGACGCCUCCUAUUUUUCUGGACGAAUUCUCA